rnacentral:misc_RNA from 1 species
GUAUUUUGAAUUAAGUAUUCAUAAUAUUUUUCAGACAAAGAGUUGAGAUAAUAGUUGAUGUUUGGGGCUGAUCAAAAAGAGACCAACCCUGACAUUGCACACAAGGUGGAUAUGGAUUUAAAAAAGUGCCAUAAAACACUUAUUAUGAAUGAUCCUUCCGCAGGUUCACCUACGGAAA